rnacentral:rRNA from 1 species
UGGUCAAGUUAUUAAGGGUGCAGGGUGGAUGCCUUGGCACUAGGAGCCGAUGAAGGACGUGAUAAGCUGCGAUAAGCUUCGGGGAGUUGCACGUAAACUUUGAUCCGAAGAUUUCCGAAUGAGGAAACUCACUUAGAGUAAUGUCUAAGUAUCAUUAAGUGAAUACAUAGCUUAAUGAGGGGAACUCAGGGAACUGAAACAUCUAAGUACCUGAAGGAAGAGAAAGAAAUUCGAUUCCGUAAGUAGCGGCGAGCGAACGCGGAUUAGCCCAAACCAAUAAAGUUUUCUUUAUUGGGGUUGCGGACAUAUCAUAACGAAGAGGUAUCGUAAUUGAAGAGGUUUGGAAAGACCCACCACAGAAGGUAAUAGUCCUGUAUGUUAAACGAGAAGACUUCAGAUAUGAUCCAGAGUACCACGGGACACGUGAAACCCUGUGGGAAGCAGGAGGGACCACCCUCCAAGGCUAAAUACUACCU